rnacentral:misc_RNA from 1 species
UUUCCGUAGGUGAACCUGCGGAAGGAUCAUUACCGAGGGGGGGGCCCCUUUUCCCCCACGGGGGGGUGGGGCCCCGGAUCUUCCCACCCAUGUUGACCGUACCACGUUGCUUCGGCGGGGACGCCUGCCGGAGGGGUUCCGAAUUAACCGCUGUUCUGUCUCAAGGAUGUGUCUGAGUCGGGCUGGAUGACACCGGCCAAAUCGAAGCGAACAAAACUUUCAACAAUGGAUCUCUUGGUUCCG